rnacentral:rRNA from 1 species
ACGAACGCUGGCGGCGUGCUUAACACAUGCAAGUCGAACGGAAAGGCCCUGCUUGCAGGGUACUCGAGUGGCGAACGGGUGAGUAACACGUGGGUGAUCUGCCCUGCACUUCGGGAUAAGCUUGGGAAACUGGGUCUAAUACCGGAUAGGAACCAUCUUUAGUGUGGUGGUUGGAAAGUUUUUUCGGUGUAGGAUGAGCUCGCGGCCUAUCAGCUUGUUGGUGGGGUAAUGGCCUACCAAGGCGGCGACGGGUAGCCGGCCUGAGAGGGUGUACGGCCACAUUGGGACUGAGAUACGGCCCAGACUCCUACGGGAGGCAGCAGUGGGGAAUAUUGCACAAUGGGCGCAAGCCUGAUGCAGCGACGCCGCGUGGGGGAUGAAGGCCUUCGGGUUGUAAACUCCUUUCGCUAGGGACGAAGCUUUGUUGUGACGGUACCUAGAUAAGAAGCACCGGCUAACUACGUG